rnacentral:rRNA from 1 species
AGUGAACGCUGGCGGUAGGCCUAACACAUGCAAGUCGAACGGCAGCACAGUAAUAGCUUGCUCUUACGGGUGGCGAGUGGCGGACGGGUGCAGAAUACAUCGGAAUCUACUUUUUCGUGGGGGAUAACGUAGGGACACUUACGCUAAUACCGCAUACGACCUACGGGUGAAAGCAGGGGAUCUUCGGCCCUUGCGCGAUCUAAUUAGCCGAUGUCGGAUUAGCUAGUUGGCGGGGUAAAGGCCCACCAAGGCGACGAUCCGUAGCUGGUCUGAGAGGAUGAUCAGCCACACUGGAACUGAGACACGGUCCAGACUCCUACGGGAGGCAGCAGUGGGGAAUAUUGGACAAUGGGCGCAAGCCUGAUCCAGCCAUACCGCGUGGGUGAAGAAGGCCUUCGGGUUGUAAAGCCCUUUUGUUGGGAAAGAAAAGCAGCAGGUUAAUACCCCGCUGUUCUGACGGUACCCAAAGAAUAAGCACCGGCUAACUUCGUG